GACGAACGCUGGCGGCGUGCCUAAUACAUGCAAGUCGAACGCAGUGGGGACGGGUGAGUAACACGUGGGUAACCUCCCAUCAGAGGGGAUAACACUUGGAAACAGGUGCUAAACAGAUAUUGAUGGAUGGACCCGCGGUGCAUUAGCUAGUUGGUGAGGUAACGGCUCACCAAGGCCCCGAUCUCUAGCUGGUCGGAGAGGAGGAUCAGCCACACUGGGACUGAGACACGGCCCCGACUCCUACGUGAGGCAGCAGUGGGGAAUAUUGCACAAUGGGCGCAAGCCUGAUGCAGCCAUGCCGCGUGGAUGAAGAAGGCCUUAGGGUAGUAAAGUACUUUCAGCGGGGAGGCGUUACCCGCAGAAGAAGCACCGGCUAACUCCGUGCCAGCAGCCGCGGUAAUUC
rnacentral:rRNA from 1 species